rnacentral:lncRNA from 1 species
GCUUCGCGCAGCUGUCCGCAAGCCUUGCGCGCCCAGGGGAACUCCCCCCCGCGUGCACGGCUUGCGGGCGGCAGCCAGCAGCGCGGAGCACGGGGCGCCCUCCGUAGGAGGCUGCGGAGGGUGGCGCGGAGCUGCCCGCGCUCCAGGGCUUCUUGCAGCUCCGCGCCACCCCCGGAUCCCGGUGCGAAGCCGCGCGGGGCUGCGGAGGGUGGCACGGAGCUGCCUGCGCUCCAGGGCUUCUUGCAGCUCCGCGCCACCCCCCGGAUCCCGGCGCGAAGCCGCGCGGGGCUGCGGAGGGUGGUGCGGAGCUGCCUGCGCUCCAGGGCUUCUUGCAGCUCCGCGCCACCCCCCGGAUCCUGGCGCGAAGCCGCGCGGGGCUCCGGAGGGUGGCGCGGAGCUACCUGGGCUCCAGGGCUUCCUGCAGCUCUGCACCACCCUCUGGAUCCUGGCGCGAAGCCGCGCGGGGCUCCGGAGGGUGGUGCGAAGCUGCCUGCGCUCCAGGGCUUCUUGCAGCUCCGCGCCACCCCCCGGAUCCCAGCGCGAAGCCGCACGGGGCUCUGGAGGGUAGCGCAGAGCUGCCUGCAUCCCGAAGCCUGGUGCGCGCUGAAGAGCGCCCCCGGGCUUCACGCACCUCUCCGCAAGCCUGGGGAGACCAGUGUGGCUCCCUAGGCUUGCGGAUAUCAGGCUGUUCUGGGGGCUGGGGUCGGGGGAAGCUUGGGCUUCCCCCGCGCCUGCCCCGUGCCUGGGGAGGGGAAUUUUUUUUUUUCUUUAUUCUCCCCCCAAAAAAUUAGGUGCGUCUUAUGGGGCGGUGCGUCCUAUGGGGCGAAAAAUAUGGUAGUCAAUAUAGGCACAGAGUUAAAUUUUUAACAUUUUCUAAUGGUGGUGUGCCUCGAGAUUUUUUUCAUGAAACAAGUGUGCCUUUGCCCAAAAAAGGUUGGGAAACACUGUUCUACACAUUCACAGCACUUGGGGGGAAAGGAGCAGUUCUCACCUCACACUGAGCCACCACUGUACAGGAAUGCAUU